CGGUUCCAUAGUGAUAUACUGUAUGCAUUGAGGUGCCUGGGGUCCCAAGGUCAGCCUCCUUUGGUUUUGGAAACUCCCACACUCUGAGAUAAUUCUUCUGAAUUAAUUAACUGAUUUGCAAGUUUUGUUUCCUGGGAUUUUAGCAAUUUAAAUUUUUUUCCCCCACCUUGCCUUCUUUGAAAAUCUAUUGAGAAAAAUGCAAUAUUGAUUCAUAUAAAGUGAUUAAAAAAAAAAAGACAAAAAAAAAAAAAACUGUCGUCAUGCCAUUUCAAACCUUUAAGACAUUCUUCAGAAAAGAAUGUUAAAAAAAAACAUCAUGAGGGGAUCAUGAGAAAAAGGUUUUCUUUAUUACUCGGCAUUUGUUCAACAAAUGUGUUUGUUUAUCAUUUAUGUUUAUUCCAGCAAGGAUUCAACUGUACGAGAGAAUCAUCAUAUUUGUUUCCGAAGAAGUUACUAUUCCUAACAUGUGUACUGUUUUGUUUUAUGCAUGAGUUUUCAUAAAGAGGAAACAAGCUCCUGAACUGUUCCUACCAUCCAUGUUACACAUGAAAUUAUCCAAUAGUUAAAAAUAAAAACAAAAGUCCAUGCAAGGAGUUUAUUAAUGAGCAAUCUGCAAUGGAGUUUCCUCUCAAACAUUUCAUUCACAUUCACCCAAUAGUUAAAAGACAUAAGUACUGAGGUGCACAGUAAAUACUUCCCUUUCUGUAAAAUAAUAAAAAAAAAUAGCUUGUUUUGAAUUUAAAUAUUGUUUUUAUCAGGAUAAAAAUGUGCACAGUGUAAUAUAAUGAAUAUAUUUUUUAAUGUAGUACCAAAUGCAGUUGUAUGCCAAACAUUUUCCAGACCCCAGUUUACAUCUCUUAUAUCAUGCACAGAAAGAAAAUCAAUUCCGACCCAAUACAAAACAAUCAAGUACAGUUUCUGUAUGAAAAUAGAAAAAGAUAUUAAAUGCCAUAUACGUUAUAUGCAACAAUAUAAUCAUCCGUUUUUGAAAAACAAAAUUGUACAAAAUGGUAGAAACAAUCAAGGACUACUUACAGCAAUUAUUUGAUUCUAACUUACAAAACAUAAGUGUGAUGAAUGUCUAUGUCUAUGCUAUAUUUUUUUCUAACCAUCCACUGACUAUAGAACAUCUAUCUGCACUAAUUCAUAGUUUAUUAUAAAAAUAUUGGAAAAUAUUGAUGAUAAUAUUACUAUAACAUUAUGGUAUUGCACUCUUUAUCCAUAACGAUAACUAUAAUCAGAGCAAAUGGAAGCAAUGACUCUUCUGGAGUUUUUGGCCACUAUUGCCAGUUUUUGGAUGUGCUAAUUACUAAAUUCAUUUUAGUGCACUUUGGACUGCAUUUAUAAAAUUAUGUGAUAGCUAUAACAUUGAUUAACUGUGUCCACCUCAACUUUCCAUGUUGAGUUAUAACAGAAUGUAAAUAAGCAAUUGCAAGGGUAAAUUAGUUAAUAAGCACUACAUCCGGUAGAUAUACUCACAAUAUGAGUAAGCUUUCAGAAUUGAUAUGGACAUAAGAUGCAGAAUACUUUGUAUGUGCAUGAAGAAACACAUGUAACACUUUCUGACAUUUGUGCAACAAAAAGCACGCCACACGGCACAAUAAAAAAAAUCAUUCAUUGUAAGAGUAAUACAGGAUAAUAGACAUAUUCAGAUAUGAUAUAUCCAUAUUGAUUGUAAGCAAGCAAACAAACUCACAAAGUAAAAUAACACUUUUUUUGAAUAUAUUUUCAUCUGUACAGAUUGUUGAUAGCUUGAUAAAAAUAAAUACAUUUGUCUUUUUUUAUUGCAUUUUGUGAUGAGAUGAUAUAUUAUCUGACUGCUACUCUGAAAAGCUCAAACUGCAUAUGAGAUAUUAUAUAUAUUAAAAAAAACAACUCUUGAAUGAAGGGAGUCAUUUUAAAGCAAUAACUAUGGAAACUGACUAUUGAAGUCACUGCACUUAAGAUUAAAGUUGCUGGACACCAAGAUUUUCACACAAAAUAUUCUUAAAUCUUUGCCUCAGUUUAGCUUUCUUCUUAACUGCAUCAUUUGUGUAAAAGCAGCCUAUAUUCCAUUUGCAAAAAAAUAUGAUUUUGUAUUGCAGUUCUACCACAGUAACAUAAAUGGUUUCUCCCACCUCUAAAACUUAUAAUCACACUUUCCUUUUCUUUUUAACAUUUCUUACAAAAAUAUUUCUCUGUGAUUAAAAGCACAGUGUUAUGUCACUUAUUCAGCUGCUACCUCACCAGUCCAUUUCAUUGCUUUAAUACAUCAAGGCCUCUUUCCUUUCUCUCAUUGGUAAUACUGCAGAAAAUGAGAAGUGCAAGCUUUUGUGUCUUUCUUGUCGCUGUUGGCACAAUGACAUUUGCUGGUGCAGAGAAACUUUAGAAAAUUAUUAAGUCUGUACAGACUGAUUUGUAGCUAUUUCUGUAAUGUCUGAGCUUUACUUGAUAUACAUUAUACAUUCAUAUCUCAUUGAUAAACAACUUAGCUAUUACAUCAACAGGCCACAGAAGUUCUGAAAAUUAGUCUUAAUAUGUGGCAUGAAGUCCAUCUUCCUGCUUAUGAACUUCUGUGUUUGUUUACAUUGUGUAUUCCAGUAAGGUCCCAGAGUUUGCUUUGACAGUGUCCAAAAUCAGACUCUCUCCACACGACUGGGGUCAUAUGCUUCUG
ensembl:lncRNA